AACGCACAUUGCGCCCUUCGGUAUUCCGUUGGGCAUGCCUGUUCGAGCGUCAUUUAAACCUUCAAGCUCUGCUUGGUGUUGGGUGUUUGUUCCGCCUCUGCGCGUGGACUCGCCUCAAAUUCAUUGGCAGCCGGUAUGUUGGCUUCGUGCGCAGCACAUUGCGUCUCGAGUCUGACUAUCUCCAUCCAUUAAGCCUCUUUUUAAGUUUGACCUCGGAUCAGGUAGGGAUACCCGCUGAACUUAA
rnacentral:misc_RNA from 1 species